rnacentral:rRNA from 1 species
GACGAACGCUGGCGGCGUGCCUAAUACAUGCAAGUUGAGCGCUGAAGGUUGGUACUUGUACCGACUGGAUGAGCAGCGAACGGGUGAGUAACGCGUGGGGAAUCUGCCUUUGAGCGGGGGACAACAUUUGGAAACGAAUGCUAAUACCGCAUAAAAACUUUAAACACAAGUUUUAAGUUUGAAAGAUGCAAUUGCAUCACUCAAAGAUGAUCCCGCGUUGUAUUAGCUAGUUGGUGAGGUAAAGGCUCAAGGCGAUGAUACAUAGCCGACCUGAGAGGGUGAUCGGCCACAUUGGGACUGAGACACGGCCCAAACUCCUACGGGAGGCAGCAGUAGGGAAUCUUCGGCAAUGGACGAAAGUCUGACCGAGCAACGCCGCGUGAGUGAAGAAGGUUUUCGGAUCGUAAAACUCUGUUGGUAGAGAAGAACGUUGGUGAGAGUGGAAAGCUCAUCAAGUGACGGUAACUACCCAGAAAGGGACGGCUAACUACGUG